rnacentral:rRNA from 1 species
GACGAACGCUGGCGGCGUGCUUAACACAUGCAAGUCACGGGGGCCCGCAAGGGCAACCGGCGAACGGGUGCGUAACACGUGAGCAACCUGCCUUAGUGUGGGGAAUAGCCGGCCCAACGGCCGGGUAAUACCGCAUACGAUCUGUGGGGGGAGUCCCCUGCAGAGGAAACCUCCGGGGCACUAAGAGGGGCUCGCGGCCUAUCAGCUAGUUGGCGAGGUAACGGCUCACCAAGGCGACGACGGGUAGCUGGUCUGAGAGGAUGGCCAGCCACAUUGGGACUGAGAGACGGCCCAGACUCCUACGGGAGGCAGCAGUGGGGAAUCUUGCGCAAUGGUCGAAAGACUGACGCAGCGACGCCGCGUGUGGGAGGAAGCCUUUCGGGGUGUAAACCACUGUUGCCCGGGACGAACAUCCCUUUUCGAGGGGACUGACGGUACCGGGUGAGGAAGCACCGGCUAACUCCGUGCCAGCAGCCGCCGUAAAA